CGUGCAGUGUAGUCAGCGUCAGACAAACAGCCGCCCGUGCACUGUCUUCGGGAGGCAGGGGUCGGAGGUUCGAAUCCUCUCACUCCGACCA
rnacentral:tRNA from 3 species